AACGCUAGCUACAGGCUUAACACAUGCAAGUCGAGGGGAAACGACAUCGAAAGCUUGCUUUUGAUGGGCGUCGACCGGCGCACGGGUGAGUAACGCGUAUCCAACCUGCCCAUCACUUGGGAAUAACCUUGCGAAAGUAAGACUAAUGCCCAAUGAUAUCCCACGAAGGCAUCCGAAUGGGAUUAAAGAUUUAUCGGUGAUGGAUGGGGAUGCGUCUGAUUAGCUUGUUGGCGGGGUAACGGCCCACCAAGGCAACGAUCAGUAGGGGUUCUGAGAGGAAGGUCCCCCACAUUGGAACUGAGACACGGUCCAAACUCCUACGGGAGGCAGCAGUGAGGAAUAUUGGUCAAUGGGCGAGAGCCUGAACCAGCCAAGUAGCGUGCAGGAAGACGGCCCUAUGGGUUGUAAACUGCUUUUAUAAGGGAAUAAAGUGAGUCUCGUGAGACUUUUUGCAUGUACCUUAUGAAUAAGGACCGGCUAAUUCCGUGCCAGCAGCCGCGGUAAUACGGAAGGUCCGGGCGUUAUCCGGAUUUAUUGGGUUUAAAGGGAGCGUAGGCCGGAGAUUAAGCGUGUUGUGAAAUGUAGACGCUCAACGUCUGCACUGCAGCGCGAACUGGUUUCCUUGAGUACGCACAAAGUGGGCGGAAUUCGUGGUGUAGCGGUGAAAUGCUUAGAUAUCACGAAGAACUCCGAUUG
rnacentral:rRNA from 1 species